AUUGAACGCUGGCGGCAGGCUUAACACAUGCAAGUCGAACGAGUGGCGGACGGGUGAGUAAUGCUUGGGAAUCUGGCUUAUCGAGGGGGAUAACGACUGGAAACUGUCGCUAAUACCGCGUACCAUAGUAUUAGCCCAAGGGGGAUUAGGUAGUUGGUGGGGUAAUGGCCUACCAGGGCGACGAUCGCUAGCGGGUCUGAGAGGAUGACCAGCCACACGGGGACGGAGACACGGCCCGGACUCCUACGGGAGGCAGCAGUGGGGAAUAUUGCGCAAUGGGGGCAACCCUGACGCAGCCAUGCCGCGUGAAUGAAGAAGGCCUUCGGGUUGUAAAGUUCUUUCGGUGACGAGGCGUUAAUCAAAGAAGAAGCACCGGCUAACUCCGUGCCAGCAGCCGCGGUAAUUC
rnacentral:rRNA from 1 species